GGAUGUGCUCGGUGAGUGUCUCUGGCCAUCAUCUCCUUGACGGGGUCUUGGUUUGAUCUGAGCCACGGCAUGAUCAGGGGCAGGUGCUGCUCAGAUCCUGCCUCCAGAGUGUCCCUGUGUGGCUGGAGUUGACCCUGGCUGUAGAGUAGGAAGAUCGGACUUGGUCGGCUUGGUCAGGCCUCUGGAGACACCCGGCCGCUCUUCCACCUUCCUUCAGCCAGUUUCCACGUCUCUGGUGCUUAGAGAUACCUGAGGGAGGCAGCCAGCCCGGUAAGCUGGGAGCUGGCGCCCUUGGCGCGUCCCAUCCCCAAAGAGCUCCCAGACCCCUGACCCCCUUCUGAUCCUAGGUAUCACCAGAGGGUGCUGUAUAUUGACAUUGAUAUUCACCAUGGUGACGGCGUGGAAGAGGCCUUCUAUACCACGGACCGGGUCAUGACUGUGUCCUUUCAUAAGUAUGGAGAGUACUUCCCAGGAACUGGGGACCUACGGGAUAUCGGGGCUGGCAAAGGCAAGUAUUAUGCUGUUAACUACCCACUCCGAGACGGGAUUGAUGACGAGUCCUAUGAGGCCAUUUUCAAGCCGGUCAUGUCGAAAGUAAUGGAGAUGUUCCAGCCUAGUGCGGUGGUCUUACAGUGUGGCUCCGACUCCCUAUCUGGGGAUCGGUUAGGUUGCUUCAAUCUAACUAUCAAAGGGCACGCCAAGUGUGUGGAAUUUGUCAAGAGCUUUAACCUGCCUAUGCUGAUGCUGGGAGGCGGUGGUUACACCAUUCGUAAUGUUGCCCGGUGCUGGACGUACGAGACAGCUGUGGCCCUGGAUACGGAGAUCCCUAAUGAGCUUCCAUACAACGACUACUUUGAAUAUUUUGGACCAGAUUUCAAGCUCCACAUCAGUCCUUCCAACAUGACCAACCAGAACACGAAUGAGUACCUGGAGAAGAUCAAACAGCGACUGUUUGAGAACCUUAGAAUGCUGCCGCACGCACCCGGGGUCCAAAUGCAGGCGAUUCCUGAGGACGCCAUCCCUGAGGAGAGUGGCGAUGAGGACGAA
rnacentral:sRNA from 1 species